rnacentral:rRNA from 1 species
GACGAACGCUGGCGGCGUGCCUAACACAUGCAAGUCGAGCGGAGAUUAUGGAAGAGCUUGCUCGGAAAUAAUCUUAGCGGCGGACGGGUGAGUAACGCGUGAGCAACCUGCCUUUCACAGGGGGAUAACGCAGCGAAAGUUGUGCUAAUACCGCAUGAGACCACAGAGGGACAUCCCUUAGGGGUCAAAGGAGCAAUCCGGUGAAAGAUGGGCUCGCGUCUGAUUAGCUAGUUGGUGAGGUAACGGCCCACCAAGGCGACGAUCAGUAGCCGACCUGAGAGGGUGAUCGGCCACAUUGGAACUGAGAGACGGUCCAAACUCCUACGGGAGGCAGCAGUGGGGAAUAUUGGGCAAUGGGGGAAACCCUGACCCAGCAACGCCGCGUGAAGGAAGAAGGUUUUCGGAUUGUAAACUUCUUUUAGUAGGGACGAAUACGUGACGGUACCUACNGAAAAAGCAAACGGCUAACUACGUG